rnacentral:rRNA from 1 species
CUACGGGGCGCAGCAGUCACGAAUCUUCCACAAUGGCCGAAAGGCUGAUGGAGCAAUGCCGCGUGUAUGAAGACGCCUUUCGGGGUGUAAAGUACUUUUAACUGGGACGAAACAAUGACGGUACCAGUUGAAUAAGGGGCUGCUAACCUCGUGCCAGCAGCAGCGGUAAUACGAGGGCCCCAAGCGUUGUCCGGAUUUAUUGGGUGUAAAGGGUCCGUAGGCGGUUUAGCGCAUCUCCUGUUAAAUCCUGAGGCUCAACCUCAGAACUGCGGGAGAGAUGGCUAGACUAGAGGCCGGAAGAGGCAAGCGGAAUUGUCGGUGUAGGGGUUAAAUCCGUUAAUAUCGACAGGAACACCAAAAGCGAAGGCAGCUUGCUAGAACGAGCCUGACGCUCAGGGACGAAAGCGUGGGGAGCGAAGGGGAUUAGAUACCCGAGUAGUC